rnacentral:rRNA from 1 species
AACGAACGCUGGCGGCAUGCCUAACACAUGCAAGUCGAACGAGACCUUCGGGUCUAGUGGCGCACGGGUGCGUAACGCGUGGGAAUCUGCCCUCUGGUUCGGAAUGACUCAGGGAAACUUGAGCUAAUACCGGAUAAUGACUUCGGUCCAAAGAUUUAUCGCCUGAGGAUGAGCCCGCGUCGGAUUAGCUAGUUGGUGAGGUAAAAGCUCACCAAGGCGACGAUCCGUAGCUGGUCUGAGAGGAUGAUCAGCCACACUGGGACUGAGACACGGCCCAGACUCCUACGGGAGGCAGCAGUGGGGAAUAUUGGACAAUGGGCGAAAGCCUGAUCCAGCAAUGCCGCGUGAGUGAUGAAGGCCUUAGGGUUGUAAAGCUCUUUUACCCGGGAUGAUAAUGACAGUACCGGGAGAAUAAGCCCCGGCUAACUCCGUGCCAGCCGCCGCAGUAAAAC